rnacentral:rRNA from 1 species
AGUGGCGAACGGGCGAGUAACACGUAAUCAAGCUGCCCGCGAGACGGGGAUAACCUCGGGAAACCGAGGCUAAUACCCGAUGGUCUACCGUGAUCGCAUGGUCGUGGUAGUAAAUGAACGGGAUCCUCCGGGACCGUUCGCUUGCGGAGGUGAUUGCGGCCCAUCAGCUUGUUGGUAGGGUAACGGCCUACCAAGGCGACGACGGGUAGCCGGCCUUAGAGGGUGGUCGGUCGCACUGGGACUGAGACACUGCCCAGACUCCUACGGGAGGCUGCAGUCGAGAAUCUUCCGCAAUGGACGCAAGUCUGACGGAGCGACGCCGCGUGUAGGAUGAAGGCCCUCGGGUUGUAAACUACUGUCACGAGUUAAGAACGGUCUACGGCGAACAGUCGUAGGCUUUGACAAAGGCUCGAGAGGAAGCACUGGCUAACUCUGUGCCAGCAGCCGCGGUAAUACAGAGAGUGCAAACGUUGUUCGGAAUCACUGGGCUUAAAGCGCGCGUAGGCGGCAUUGUAAGUGUCGGGUGAAAUCCCACGGCUCACCCGUGGAACUGCCCGGCAGACUGCAGUGCUAGAGUGUGGUAGGGGAGAGCGGAACUCCUGGUGGAGCGGUGAAAUGCGUANAUAUCAGGAGGAACACCGGUGGCGAAGCGGCUCU